UACGUAGGUGGCAAGCGUUGUCCGGAUUUACUGGGCGUAAAGAGCGCGCAGGCGGUCGUUCAAGUCGAGUGUGAAGGCCCCCGGCUCAACUGGGGAGGGUCACUCGAUACUGAUCGACUUGAAGGCAGGAGAGGGAAGCGGAAUUCCCGGUGUAGUGGUGAAAUUCGUAGAUAUUCGGAAGAACACCAGUGGCGAAGGCGGCUCACUGGACCGGUAUUGACGCUGAGGUGCGAAAGCGUGGGGAGCAAACAGG
rnacentral:rRNA from 1 species